CAACUCUUCAGUUCGUUGAUAUUGUUUGUCUCAAUUUGCAAAACUGUUUAGUUUUAUUUCAUGUUGAUUUAAUUUCUGUUGCCAUUGGCAACCUUGGCUUCUGAUUUCAAUGCCUCUGCUAUGCCCUGUCAUGUCACUGCUCCAAUGCAGUCUCUGAUCCUUCUGACUGCACCCUGAUCUGUCAUCUCCCUGGCUCCGCAACAGACUUCUGGUUCAGCAGCAUAACCUUUGUUUUCCAGCAUUCUAGCUCCAUAUUAGUGUCCAGGCUUCCUUACUGUUCAUUAGUCUUGUGUCUCCUGGCUGCACAAUGGGACUACAUCCAUCUGGCUCCAUCAAGGUCCACUCAAGUGUCACUUGCUCCGUCUUGAUCUCCAGCAUUACUGGCUUUGAUCCAACGUGGAUCUCCAACCGUCUAGUUCCAUCUAGACAUCCUUCUCUGCCAUUCUUACUCAACAAAAAUAUCUUCACAGAGACUUAAUCUCUGCGAUCUUCAUCAUUCCCACCGACUCCACCUCAGUCUGCCGAUCUUCUGUCUUCACCUUGGCCCUCCAGUCCAGUGGCAUUAUACUGGUUCUCCAGCAGUUUGGCACCAUCUUGGUCUACAGCUUUCCUGAUUUCACCUUGGUCUUCCAUCUACUCAACUCUGUCCUGGUUUGCCUCACCCAUGGCUCCACAGUGUCUCUCUAUCUUUGUGGCUCCAUCAAAGCAUCCCUCCGUCCCAGUUUUGCUAAACAAGACAUCUUUACAGAUACAUGAUCUCCACCAUCUUCAACACUCCCACUGGCUCUUCCUCGGUCUGCAGAUCUUCUACAUCCACCUAGGCCCUCAAGCCCUGCUGUAUUACCCUGGUUGUCCAGUCCUCUGGUUACAUCCAUCUUGGUAUCAAGCCAUCCUGACUCUGCCUUGGCCUUCUGUCUGGUCUGCACAGCCUGAGGAUCGACAAUGGGUCUCCAUUGCUCCGAUUCCAUCAAGGCAUUCCACUAUGCCAUUUCUGCCAUGACACCCUCCAUUACUUUUACAGUGGUUUCUUCUUCCACUGCACACCCUUGACCUCUUCCUUCACUAUUUGUGCAGUAGUCUCUUCCUCUGCCAGCUCCACUGUAGUCUCUUACCCUCACCAUCACACUGGCUGUUUAAGAGUCAAAAGCUGCCUUUUGGAAAGGCAGGUACUUUCAAGUUCUGUUUCUGCUCUAGGAGUUUAUAUUUAUAUUUAGUUCCUGUUUUCUG
ensembl:lncRNA